rnacentral:rRNA from 1 species
GCAUAUCAAUAAGCGGAGGAAAAGAAACCAACAGGGAUUGCCUUAGUAACGGCGAGUGAAGCGGCAAAAGCUCAAAUUUGAAAUCGGCCACCAGGUCGAGUUGUAAUUUGAAGGUAGUUUUCUGGUGCUGGCCCUUGUCUAUGUUCCUUGGAACAGGACGUCACAGAGGGUGAGAAUCCCGUCUGAUGAGAUGCCCAUUCCUAUGUAAGGUGCUAUCGAAGAGUCGAGUUGUUUGGGAAUGCAGCUCUAAGUGGGUGGUAAAUUCCAUCUAAAGCUAAAUAUUGGCGAGAGACCGAUAGCGAACAAGUACAGUGAUGGAAAGAUGAAAAGAACUUUGAAAAGAGAAUGAAAAAGUACGUGAAAUUGUUGAAAGGGAAGGGCAUUAGAUCAGACUUGGUGUUUUACGAUUAUCUUCUCUUCUUGAGUUGUGCACUCGUAUUUCACUGGGCCAGCAUCGAUUCGGAUGGCAAGAUAAUGGCAGUUGAAUGUGGCUUCACUUCGGUGGAGUGUUAUAGCUUCUGCUGAUAUUGCCUGUCUGGAUCGAGGGCUGCGUCUUUUGACUAGGAUGCUGGCGUAAUGAUCUAAUGCCGCCCGUCUUGAAACACGGACC